rnacentral:rRNA from 1 species
CCCUUAGAUGUUCUGGGCCGCACGCGCGCUACACUGACGAAUGCAACGAGCUUAUAACCUUGGCCGAAAGGUCUGGGUAAUCUCCAAAUUUCGUCGUGAUGGGGAUAGAUUAUUGCAAUUAUUAAUCUUCAACGAGGAAUGCCUAGUAAGCGCAAGUCAUCAGCUUGCAUUGAUUACGUCCCUGCCCUUUGUACACACCGCCCGUCGCACCUACCGAUUGAAUGGUCCGGUGAAAUCUCCGGACUGGCGUGAGUCGGAGCAAUCUGACAAACGCCGGAAAGUUGAUUAAACCUUACCAUUUAGAGGAAGGUGAAGUCGUAACA